rnacentral:rRNA from 1 species
GACGAACGCUGGCGGCGUGCUUAUCACAUGCAAGUCGAACGAAGAGCGAUGGAAGCUUGCUUCUAUCAAUCUUAGUGGCGAACGGGUGAGUAACGCGUAAUCAACCUGCCCUUCAGAGGGGGACAACAGUUGGAAACGACUGCUAAUACCGCAUACGAUCUAAUCUCGGCAUCGAGGAUAGAUGAAAGGUGGCCUCUACAUGUAAGCUAUCACUGAAGGAGGGGAUUGCGUCUGAUUAGCUAGUUGGAGGGGUAACGGCCCACCAAGGCGAUGAUCAGUAGCCGGUCUGAGAGGAUGAACGGCCACAUUGGGACUGAGACACGGCCCAGACUCCUACGGGAGGCAGCAGUGGGGAAUCUUCCGCAAUGGACGAAAGUCUGACGGAGCAACGCCGCGUGAGUGAUGACGGCCUUCGGGUUGUAAAGCUCUGUUAAUCGGGACGAAAGGCCUUCUUGCGAAUAGUGAGAAGGAUUGACGGUACCGGAAUAGAAAGCCACGGCUAACUACGUG